UUGUUUGUCUUUUUUUCAUUCGAAUAAAAAAUUGUACUAGUAUCUGAUACAGGGUUAAUGAAGCAAUGCGAUGGUUAGACGUUAUGCUAACCAUUGUAUAGUAUAACAGCGAUGAGGAAUAUGGAUAAGUCGACAGUUGACAGACUGGUGCAGCAGAGUCUACCAGGUACAUGAUAUUAAGUGGCCACCACUGGAUUACAGUAAAGGGCACUACAAGCAAGUGAAAUUGAGACGAGAGGUGGUACAGGAGUUAAUCCAUUGAAGAAAAUAAAACAGUCCGAUUCUUAAUUGAGUAAGGCUAAAUGUUGUUUUUCUCACGACAACGAAGGGAAGCAAAUCAUAUUGUUAUUUUGCAUUAUUUAUUUUAUGAUUUGCUUACUAUGCAAACAUCCACAAAGACUAAAUGUACAUUGUUGUUUUCUGCAUGAGGUUAUUAACAAUAUAAAACACAUUGUCUAACAAUAUAGUGACAAUAUGUAUACUAAAGUCAAGUCUUUGGAUCCUUAUAUUUCAAAUAUUGUUUAUUUUUCUAAAGAAAUGAACGGACUGUGAGGCGUAUUGCCCGUAAUUCCAAAGAUAUAAAUGUGUUUAGUUAGAUACAAUGGACGUUUGUUUAUCCCAAUUCGACGGAAAUGUCAACUUCAAAGAUAUAACUGGUAACGAUUCUUAAAAACAUAAAGACUAAACAAAUGAGUGUGAACAAGAGAAGAAGAUAUGGAUGUAAUUGUUGUAAACAUUGUUUUCCAAUCUUUGAAGAACCCUCAUGUAGCAGUAGCAUGAAUAUUGAGGUGGCCGAAAGCAAGUCUCUACUACCACUAGUGAAAAAUCAAGUCCCACUGAAGAUUUUGGUGAAAUAUACGCAAGACACAUUUUUCCUACGAUAGAUAAAUACUUUCAAUUAGCUGUCAGCCUAUGUUGGGCUGUAUGGACUUUUCUGCACAAACUGCGCAGGAUCAUCAAUAGCAUAUACCUCUAGAAGAUGACCCCUCUGUAAUAUUCAUUACAGUUGAAGAUAAACUGUUUUUGUACAAAUAUAUAUCGGUGGGUGUUAUCAUAUAUUCUGCAUAUGUUCUGGUACAUGGUCCAAGUGAAUACGCGUAACCGAAAAUGAUGGAGCCUUAUUUAUAAGAAUUUAAACAAAGCUGCCUUAUUUAAGGAGAGGGUAUGUUCAUUUGGAAUAAUUCUGGACAAAACCUUGCAGCUGGAAAAGAUCUUUGCUUCGUGCGCAUAAAAUAACCAGGAGAGUACAACAUGGCUUUGGAAUACAAUGAUUGCAUAUAAACGUUUGAUAUACCAACUGUAGUUUCAAGGGCUACGGAUGAUGAGAUGUUUGUGAAUCAGCAAACGACAGAUGUGUAACUGAUGAGAUGUUAGUGAAUCAGCAAACGACAGAUGUGUAACUGAUGAGAUGUUAGUGAAUCAGCAAACGACAGAUGUGUAACUGAUGAGAUGUUAGUGAAUCAGCAAACGACAGAUGUGUAACUGAUGAGAUGUUAGUGAAUCAGCAAACGACAGAUGUGUAACUGAUGAGAUGUUAGUGAAUCAGCAAACGACAAAUGUGUAACUGAUGAGAUGUUAGUGAAUCAGCAAACGACAGAUGUGUAACUGAUGAGAUGUUAGUGAAUCAGCAAACGACAGAUGUGUAACUGAUGAGAUGUUUGUGAAUCAGCAAACGACAAAUGUGUAACUGAUAAGAUGUUAGUGAAUCAGCCAUCGACAAAUGUGUAACUGAUGAGAUGUUAGUGAAUCAGCAAACGACAGAUGUGUAACUGAUGAGAUGUUUGUGAAUCAGCAAACGACAGAAUGUGUUACUGAUGAGAUGUUUGUGAAUCAGCAAACGACAGAAUCUGUAACUGAUGAGAUGUUUGUGAAUCAGCAAACAACAUAAUGUGUUACUGAUGAGAUGUUUGUGAAUCAGCAAACAACAGAAUCUGUAACUGAUGAGAUGACACCACAUACGAUCACUCAUGGCAAUUCUUCAAAGGAGGGACAUCAGGCAGCAAAAUAUAUGUGAAUGUUCAAAUGAUUGAAAAUCAUGUAUUAACAGAAAUGAGACACGUACGACAUGGAUAUUUCACAAAUACUGGGGAAAAUGGAGAGGGGGUCGCGGUGAGGUAUACAAUGGAUUGUACCUUGAAACCGAUAAACCUAAAACAUGUGCGAAAAUCGGUGUUACAAGAAGUUGAAAUCAAAAGCAAAAUAAGACGCCAAUACAUAGCUUUAUUGAUUGGUUACUCAAUACAAACAUACUAUUUGUAUAUUGUUACAGAUUUCAACACAGGUCCUUAUUUCAAAUUGGAUGAUGUGCUGUUUGCGGACAUCGGGUAUGAACCAUUACCAAGGAAACAUUCAAUUGCAUUUAAAGUGUGCCAUGAAUAAGCGUACCUAUACAAUUGCAAUCCUUAUAUCAGAUAUAGAAAUAUUAUGUUUUGAUGUUGAACUAUCAAAACUUAUGGUUAUGAAUACACUGGAUUCUACACUUGUAAACAAACGAGAUACGCAGCCCGGCAUAUUGAGCACCUUAUAUUCAUCUUAAGUGAAGAAUAGCCAUACUAUAUAUGGAGCCAAUGUUUCUACUUUGUUGAACUGUAAACGUUAUAAACAAUCUGGACCACAGAUCAUUCAAUCUGUAGAGUUUCAUAUUAGGAAGUAUGUUUCCUUUUGAUCGAUCAGUUUGAUAAGCAUUCAAAUAUGUGUUCUAACAGAGAUGCAUGGAUCACUUUCUAUACAUUAAAAUAAAGUGUUUAAUUAUA